AAUCUGCUGACAUCAGCAUAAAUGAGAUAAAUUGAAGGUGAUGAUUGGAUGCCGUUUAACGUCACAAAGGAUUCACCAGAUGCUUCAAUCUGCGUUUUUUAAACCCAUGAAAGCUUGUACCUGUUAAGCUCCUUAACCAAAGCUUGAAUUGCUUUUCCUUUAGAGUCCCGGACUUCCUGAAUAAGACACAAGUCACACCGAGAAAGAAUCUUGGGAGCAAAGGGAAAAAAGUUGUCAGCUCUGAACAUUGAAAGCGCAGAUUUUCAGGGAGGAUGUGACAUUCCACACACACAACCCCACAACAACCAGCAGAACUACAGUCCUCAUCUCGCAGAGGGUUAUCGCUCUUUUCACCAGGAGACUGACCCCAGUCCAGCAAAGAUCCAUCUCUUCAAUGGCCUGUGGUGUGUUUUGGGGAACAUGCAGGUCUUCAGCUUGCUCCCGGAAAGGAGGAUGCCACAGCCACAACAUGGCAACCCCUGCCACAGCAAGGAGUAGAAGGAAGAACACACACACCUUCCACCAGGAGCCACACAGCGUCUAAACAAAGAGGGAAGAAAUGUUAUAUAUAAAAUAUAAUACAGUAUGUAUAUGUUUAUAUAUA